AUGCGCGCGGCGGCUGCGGCUCAGAGCGGGGAGCCGCUGCUCGGCCCUCCCCAGGCAGUGGAAUGCCCAGAACUGGUCCCCUGGCUUGGGCAUCAGCCGAGUAGGAGCUGGACGGGCAGUGGCAUCGGGCAGGCCCUUCCCGCGGGGCGGGCAGCUCGCUUUGACCCAACCGCCUGACUCUGCUUGUGUCCUGGCAGCGAUGACUCUGGGGCAACUCCGCUGCGGUGGCUAGCCCGGGGUAUGCCAAGCGAUGGUGGCACAGGGGCGGGAACUGGUCCGCACGCGUGAACUUAACAAGCCGAGGAGCAGGCGCGUGGCGGCGCUGUGAGGCGGCACUCCCCGAUGACAGGCCGACUGGACGCCGCCACCUGGAAGGACCCGCCAGCCCAGGCCGGAGCAGGUGCGCGGCGGCGCUGUGAGGCAGCACUCACCUACGACAGGCAGGCUGAACGCCGCCACCCGGAAGGACCCGCCAGCCCAGGCCGGCGCCGGAGCUGCAGCGCCACCUGUAGGCCAAGGAGUUUUCUCCGGGAGGCGGGGGCCUGUGUGCACAGGUGCAGUGAUGUCACUAGAGCCUGAGCAAGUGCGGUGACGUCACACGCGAGGGCUUGGCCGUUAGCCUCGUGCCUUGCCGUUACCAGUGAGGCUUGGCGGUGGUCGCUUGGCUUGACAGUUCUUACUUGGCUCAGCGGUGCUGCUUUCACCGAUUGGAAACCGCGGGCUUUCCUCCUGGGAGGUUGUGGUCACUGCAGUAACUCGCUACUGUUGGCCUCCGGGGGUGGAGAAAAGCGGGGAGGGGCGGGGAGGGGCCGAGGGGUCUCGGAAGACUGCAGUCUCCGCCAUGAGGAGGACAUUUAGAGGUGGGCGCCCUGAGGACCAAUGGCCCUCGGGCUCCCUCACCAGCUGGCGGCCAGACAGCUCGCUCAGCAGAAGGAAGCGUGAAGCGGAAAUCUUCGCCCCGCCUCGGUACCGCGUCGACCCGGAAGAUCUCGAGGAGCUCCACAGAGCUGCCUGGCGGGGUGACGUCCCCGGGCUGGAGCGCGUCCUGGUGCCCGGAGGCCCUGGCGUGGACGAGAGGGACAAUGAGAAUAGGACGGCUCUGCAUUUCGCAUGUGCCUGUGGACAUCCAGCAGUGGUAGCUCUCCUGGUGGACAGAAAAUGUCAACUUAAUUGUUUUGACAGCAAUAAGAGGACAGCUCUGAUAAAGGCCGUACAAUGCAAAAAAGAGGAAUGCGCAACUAUUUUGCUGGAACGGGGUGCUGAUCCAGACCUUCCAGAUAUCUACGGCAACACCGCUCUGCACUAUGCUGUGCAUAAUGAAGACGAAUCACUGGCAGAAAAACUGCUUUUAUACAGUACAAAUAUGGAGGCAAACAAUGAGAAACAGGGUCUCACUGAGUUGCUCAGGCUGGUCUCAGACUCCUGGGUUCACGUGAUCCUCUUGCCUUGGCCUCCCAGAGUGCUGGACUUGCAGGAUGACCUCACACCACUUCUAUUUGCCAUAAGCCUAAAAAGACAGCAAAUGGUAGAACUUUUACUGGAGAGAGGAGCAAAUUUACUUGCAGUUGAUAAGUGUCAAAGAACAGCCCUCAUUCUCGCCGUGCAAUGUGGAUCAGCAAACAUAGUUAGCCUUCUUCUGCAGCAAAAAAUUGACAUCUUUUCUCAAGAUAUGUUUGGGAGGACUGCGGAAGACUAUGCAAUUUUUAAUCGGUUUACUGGCAUUCAGCAACUAAUUGCUGAAUAUAAGGAAAAACAGACACCUGAAAGUCUUCCUCAAAAUAACAAUCAAGAACAAGAAAAGAUGAACAUUGGAGUUGAACUUCUCUCAGGGAAUGAUACUCUCCAUGACGUGUGCCAGUCACAGCUGCCAGAAAACAAAGGGAGCAAAGAAGAAGAACAAGACUUGGAGCUGCCCUCGGAGGAAGAGGAAGGAAGACUUAAAGGAUGUGAAAAUAAGCAGCCACAGGUCGAAGAAGAAAUGAAGCAGCACACGAGUAAUAACGUGGAAUUAUCCGGAAGCCUACCUGGUGGUGCCGCUGCUGGCAGUGAUGAUGAUGGACUUAAUCAGCCGUUUCCUAGGAAGGAGAAUGAAGUGCAUGACAGGGCUGAAAAUAAAACAUCUACUGAAAAGAGCCAGGUCAAAAACCAAAUACAUCCUGGGGCUGACUUUGCUGACUCAGUGCGACCAUCUGAAACAGACUCAGAAUGCAAGUUGUCUGACUCUACUUAUGAGAAUUUUUUGUUGUGGAUUGAACAACUUAGAAUGAGGUGUAAAGCCCUCAGUCUUGCAAGAUCCUCCGGCAGCAAGGGUCCACGCUGUCAUCGAUGAGCACUUUCUGCAGAUUUGCAAAGGCCAUUGCUGGAGGUGGCCUCGGAGUCGGUGCUGCAAGUGGAGGUGCUUAAGCCGAGAAGCUGUGGUUGGGCCUGGCGCGCCGGAGUCCGCUGAUUGCACUACAGUAUAUGAUUUUAUAUAGUAUAUGAUUUUAACUGAUCACAGUCCAUCUUCAAAAAUAUUAUGCCUUGUCACAUAUGGCAUAAGAAAAUUACAAAUGAAAAACCAAACAUCAUACGUUCUUACUCGUAAGCGGGAACUAUGCUAUGAGGAGGUAAGGACAUAAGAAUGACACAUGGAGGUUG